GUAAUUGGCAGUUGACAGGCUGUAGGGCCUGUUGGUCUGUAAUAACAGUGUGGCCAUCAGAGGCUCAUAGCUAAAUAUGGAAGCUCAGUACUACCUGGAAGAGAAGAGCUGGCUUACCAACCCUGGAAUGAUUCCAACUUGCUGAGAAUUCUGCUGAAGAACUCGAGUUUCAUCUAUCCCUUUCUGCAGAAUGGGGAUUACAAUAUGUACUAGCACUCUAUAACUCACACAGGUAAAAAAAAAAAUAAAUCAAGACAAAACUUAAUACUUAAGAAGCUUUCAUCACUAAAUCAUCACUGGCCAUCCACUAAAACAAGAAUUUCAAAUCUCUCUUGGAUUGGAAUAUUUGAAAUCUUAGAGAAACACAGAUGAACUGACAAUUCAAAAAAAAAAAAUCAAGGAAGAAUUGCUUCCACAAGGCUCUCUUCUAUUUCCUACCACUCGAGGAGAAUGCUUACGUCAAUAACCCACUUGGCCUGUGUGACCUGAAAUUUUUAUGAUGUAAAUCUCCCCCAGAAUGCAGAGAAUGAAAGGCUCCUCUCCAACAGCACCUAGGACUCCAAGAGCUACCACUGGACAAAGCCCAAACCAUCAGGGACAAGCUUAACUUCCAACCAAAAUUAAAAGGAUCACGGGACUGCAGAAAAAGAUACAGACUCAGCUUACACUCAACCUUUAAAAAUGAAUAAAGCAAUUAAAAAUCCCA